AAUGUGAACAGGAAGCCGGUUACGCUGCCAGAAUCCAUCGAGGGAAAUUGCAGUGGUCAUUUCAUGCAAUAUCAGCCACUCCCUCAAAUCCGCCAUCAGGAAUUAAUGUGCAAAAUAUGUUCUUUCCCUGAGUGGAAGCAAAGAGAAUCCAUGCAUGGAGAGAAGGGAAUUGAAAAGGACUAUGUUCGUUUGCCCCUCAACUCUCAAGGGGAGUUAAUCGAUCUGAACUCAAACAGUAAAGGAAAGUUGACUCAGCUGCCAAGCUCAAGGAGAAUUGUGGGAUCUUCCGGAGGAUUAGCAGUAAACAACGUUUCACACUCAAACAUGGACAAUCUCUCUGAUGCUAGAGGUUGGGA
rnacentral:misc_RNA from 1 species